rnacentral:rRNA from 1 species
CAGCAGCCGCGGGAAUACGAAGGGUGCAAGCGUUACUCGGAAUUACUGGGCGUAAAGCGUGCGUAGGCGGUUUGUUAAGUCUGCUGUGAAAUCCCCGGGCUCAACCUGGGAAUGGCAGUGGAUACUGGCAAGCUAGAGUGUGUCAGAGGAUGGUGGAAUUCCCGGUGUAGCGGUGAAAUGCGUAGAGAUCGGGAGGAACAUCAGUGGCGAAGGCGGCCAUCUGGGACAACACUGACGCUGAGGCACGAAAGCGUGGGGAGCAAACAGGAUUAGAUACCCCCGUAGUCCCUGUCUCUUAUAC